rnacentral:rRNA from 1 species
UGAACGCUGGCUACAGGCUUAACACAUGCACGUCGCGGGGAAACGACGGGGAAGCUUGCUUCCCCGGGCGUCGACCGGCGCACGGGUGAGUAACGCGUAUCCAACCUGCCUCUGACUGAGGGAUAACCCGUCGAAAGUCGGCCUAAUACCUCAUGGUAUCGUCUGCGGGCAUCCAACGACGAUUAAAGAUUUCAUCGGUCAGGGAUGGGGAUGCGUCUGAUUAGCUUGUUGGCGUGGUAACGGCCCACCAAGGCUACGAUCAGUAGGGGUUCUGAGAGGAAGGUCCCCCACAUGGGAACUGAGACAAGGGCCAAAGUCCUACGGGAGGAAGCAGUAAGGAAUAUUGGUGAAUGGGAGAGAGCCUGAACCAGCCAAGUAGCGUGCAGGAAGACGGCCCUAGGGGUUGUAAACUGCUUUUAGGCGGGGAUAAAGUGAGGGACGGGUCCCUCAUUGCAGGUACCGCAUGAAUAAGGACCGGCUAAUUCCGUG